rnacentral:rRNA from 1 species
AGAGUUUGAUCAUGGCUCAGGAUGAACGCUAGCGGCAGGCUUAAUACAUGCAAGUCGAGGGGCAGCAGGGGUGUAGCAAUACACUUGCUGGCGACCGGCAAACGGGUGCGGAACACGUACGCAAUCUACCCAUAACUGAUGAAUAGCCCUCCGAAAGGAGGAUUAAUACAUCGCAACCUGGUGAAGUGGCAUCACUUUAUUAGUAUAGCUCCGGCGGUUAUGGAUGAGCGUGCGGCUGAUUAGGUAGUUGGCGGGGUAACGGCCCACCAAGCCUGCGAUCAGUAACUGGUGUGAGAGCACGACCAGUCACACGGGCACUGAGACACGGGCCCGACUCCUACGGGAGGCAGCAGUAAGGAAUAUUGGUCAAUGGACGCAAGUCUGAACCAGCCAUGCCGCGUGGAGGAUGAAGGCCCUCUGGGUUGUAAACUUCUUUUAUCUGGGACGAAACCUCUUUUUCUUGAGAGACUGACGGUACCAGAGGAAUAAGCACCGGCUAACUCCGUGCCAGCAGCCGCGGUAAUAC